UGGGGAAUUUUGCACAAUGGGCGCAAGCCUGAUGCAGCGACGCCGCGUGCGGGAUGAAGGCCUUCGGGUUGUAAACCGCUUUCAGCAGGGACGAGGCCGCAAGGUGACGGUACCUGCAGAAGAAGCCCCGGCUAACUACGUGCCAGCAGCCGCGGUAAUACGUAGGGGGCAAGCGUUAUCCGGAUUCAUUGGGCGUAAAGCGCGCGUAGGCGGUUUGUUAGGUCAGGAGUUAAAUCUGGGGGCUCAACCCCUAUCCGCUCCUGAUACCGGCAGGCUUGAGUCUGGUAGGGGAAGGCGGAAUUCCAAGUGUAGCGGUGAAAUGCGCAGAUAUUUGGAAGAACACCGGUGGCGAAGGCGGCCUUCUGGGCCACGACUGACGCUGAGGCGCGAAAGCUAGGGGAGCGAACAGG
rnacentral:rRNA from 1 species